rnacentral:rRNA from 1 species
AGCGAACGCUGGCGGCAGGCCUAACACAUGCAAGUCGAACGAAGUCUUCGGACUUAGUGGCGGACGGGUGAGUAACACGUGGGAACGUACCUUUUGGUUCGGAACAACUCAGGGAAACUUGAGCUAAUACCGGAUGAGCCCUUAGGGGGAAAGAUUUAUCGCCGAAAGAGCGGCCCGCGUUAGAUUAGCUAGUUGGUGAGGUAAAGGCUCACCAAGGCUACGAUCUAUAGCUGGUCUGAGAGGAUGAUCAGCAACACUGGGACUGAGACACGGCCCAGACUCCUACGGGAGGCAGCAGUGGGGAAUCUUGCGCAAUGGGCGAAAGCCUGACGCAGCCAUGCCGCGUGAAUGAUGAAGGUCUUAGGACUGUAAAAUUCUUUUACCAGGGACGAUAAUGACGGUACCUGGAGAAAAAGCCCCGGCUAACUUCGUGCCAGCAGCAGCCGCCG